UCCAUCCUCCAGGGCAGGCCACACUGCUGGCGGGCGUUGGAGUGUUGUGUGUGGACAAAGAAGGCAGCUGGGCUGUGGUCAGUGUGGAACCGCUGUGAGUCCAAGAAUCUAAAUGCGAAUCUGGCCUUCCAGGUCCUUACAAGGAAACGGAAGCUCUGAGAGGUAUAGUGUCUUGACCGCUGUCACACAGGUGGUGUUGAGUGGAUUUGAACCCAACUCUGUUGGACCCCAAAGUCUCCGUGCUCCAUCGCUAUGAUACACUGCCAGUCUCCCCAUGAAACCAGGGAGAGGUUCUUGGAUGUGCCCGUAUCACAGAGUAGCAUUUGGCUCAGUGCUUCUUGAAGUGUGAGUCCCCCAGCCACCUGCAUCAGAACCACCUGAGGGGCUUCUCAGAAAGGCAGACUCUUGGGGCCGGCCUGGUGGCCUAGUGGUUAUGCUUGCACACUCUGCUUCGGUGGCCCAGGAUUCGUGGGUUCAGAUCCCAGACGGCACCCCUGCUAGGUGGCUCCAGUUUCUCUAACCAUUAGGAAGGUAUUACAGU
rnacentral:lncRNA from 1 species